CCAUGAUAUCUACAAAAAUCUGUAAAGGCUUCUCUUUAUCUUUAUUUAUUUAUUUUUAUUUAUUAAUAUUGUUAUUACUAUUAUUAUUUUUUUCUUUAAUUAUUAUUGUUAUUUUUUUUUUUUCCUUUUUUUAGCUUAGACAAGGAUACGCAAGUCCGCUCAACGUUGACGGAAGAGGAAAAUAUUUGGGUCGAUCAAGGAAUGAAAACGUCGCCAUGUGUUACAUUAGAGUCCCAAGUCACGUGUCCUCGGGUGCUGCUAUUAGUACGCUAUUUACACUGGAGAUGAGUUCGUGACAUGAGUAUUGUUGCCACACACACACGCACAUUUAUCUCAUCAUAAAAAGUAACUCUGCACCAAUACAAAGCCAGCUUUUCCUACAAUCGCGGUAUAAAAGAAGGGACUGCCUCACCUCGGCUAGUCGGCAGUGACUGGCUAACGCAACGUAACGCUCUACGAGGCUCCACACACCACUCACCACCACCACACACACACGGCCACACUACCUGCUGCUGGUGUUCACGGUGGCUAGCAAGGGGGCAACGCACACACACCUGUUCGAGAUCUCUUGGCAUGUGGUGGACUGGUAGUUCGGUGAACGAGAAGAAAACAAGCUGCAGUCUACCUUCCCCGUGGCUGGAGUAAGGACAAACGAACAAAAGCAUAGUGACGAAGAAUCACAUUGACAUUACAGAAAACAAACACCUGAUUAUACU